rnacentral:rRNA from 2 species
GAUGAACGCUGGCGGCGCGCCUAACACAUGCAAGUCGAACGAUUAAAGCACCUUCGGGUGUGUAUAAAGUGGCGAACGGCUGAGUAACACGUGGGCAACCUGCCCCUUUCAUUGGGAUAGCCACGGGAAACCGUGGAUAAUACCGAAUACUUCGAGACUUCCGCAUGGAAGACUCGAGAAAGCUCCGGCGGAGAGGGAUGGGCCCGCGGCCUGUUAGCUUGUUGGUGGGGUAACGGCCUACCAAGGCAAUGAUGGGUAGCUGGGUUGAGAGACCGACCAGCCAGAUUGGGACUGAGACACGGCCCAGGCUCCUACGGGAGGCAGCAGUGGGGAAUCUUGCACGAUGGGCGAAAGCCUGAUGCAGCGACGCCGCGUGCGGGAUGAAGGCCUUCGGGUUGUAAACCGCUUUCAGCAGGGACGAGGCGAGAGGACGGUAC